GAUCCUGGCUGGAGCCUUCCCUGAAGGGUGUGGUGUGAAAGCCCAGCAGUUUGCUCUGACAUAACAGCAUCUAUCUGGAAGAUCACCAACAGAUAGAAAAGAAAAUGACAAACCAUGUGCAUGGAAAAGUGGAGAAACUCUGAGGGUGAUGACUACUGGUGAUGACUAGAAUAGUCAAUGUUGUUUGGGAUGCAGAUACAACGAUGGAAUUUGAAGGCACCAACUUAGACAAUGAGAUGGAAGCUUCUUGCUGAGGUUGGCAGAAGAACAGGAAAGGAAGGUGGGAUCCUCACUACUGUGGGUCCAUCAUGUGGGUCUAGGACUGUUGACUAGUAUGUCCUAAAC